CCAUAGCCGAGCGCCGCCCAACCCCGCCUCCCUCGACCCCGCGCUGCUGCGCCACCUCGCCUCCGCCCGCUGGUGCGCACCGCCACCUCACCGGACCCCGGGAGACCCGCCGCCUCGCACUGCCGCCUGCGCCGCGUCGCGCACCGCCACCUCCCCACAAGCUCGCCGCCCCGCCUUCAAAGCCUCGUCGCCGGUCGCCCCGACCUCGAGAUCCGUUGCCGCCAUUGGAGCCGAGCACCGAGCUCCUCUGCGCCUCACCCGCGUCCCCGCGUCGCCGCCACCUCCCCAUAAGCUCGUCGCCUCGCCGCGGAAGCCUCGUCGCCGGUCGCCCUGACCUCGAGAUCCACCGCCGCCAUGGGAGCUGAGUACCGAGCUCCUCUGCGCCCCGCCCGCAUCCCCGAGUCGCCGCCGCCGCCCCACGCUGCCUCGCGCCCGUUGCGCCGAUCCGUCAGGUCGCUGCUGCUGUUGGUGGCGUGAUUGCCAUCGUUGUGAGAUUGUUGCUAUUCUUGGUGCCGCUUCUCGUCGUGGUCGCUGCCGUGUGGAGGCUGCUCCCGCUCCCCUGCUCCUUGUGUCGUCAUGGCCGCCGCUGCUGCCGGUGGAGCACGGGCUGCUUCUGGCCAUCGGCCCACCCCCGGUCUGUUGCUUCUCCAACUCCUUGUGUCACUCUUGGUUCGAUCUUUAGCGCUGGAGCAACAUAGUUCCUGUAGGUGGGUUAGCAUCUUGGCUGGAUUGUUUGAUGUGGCCUGUUUUGCCUGUUCAGGUAAAUCCCGAGGACGACAUGCAUGGGAGUCUUGGGAGUAGCAUCCUCCUCGCCGCACGGGCCUCCUCCUUGCUGCACAGGCCUCCUCCUUGCCGGAGUGAUGCCCAUCGCCAAAGCAGCGCCGGCCAAUCCCAUCGACCACCAGGUGCGUCCUUGGAUCAGUUUCCCACAUGCAGCAUGUUGUUCCUACUCCUCUACCUACUACAGCAACACAAUGUUCUUCUGUAUUGCAAUAGAGUAGGAGUAUUUGCUAGAGUAGUUAGUGAAAGAAAUAUGUCCUAAAGGCAAUAAUAAAGUUAUUAUUUAUUUCCUUAUAUCAUGAUGAAUGUUUAUUAUUCAUGCUAGAAUUGUAUU